rnacentral:tRNA from 2 species
GGAGAAGUAGCGAAGAGGCCAUAACGCGCUUGACUCGAAAUCAAGUUGUCGGUCUAGCCGGCACGUGGGUUCGAAUCCCAUCUUCUCCU